UACAGAGGUCUCAAGCGUUGUUCGGAUUCGUUGGGCGUAAAGGGUGCGUAGGUGGCGCGCUAAGUCAGGUGUGAAAUUUCGGAGCUUAACUCCGAAACUGCAUUUGAUACUGGCGUGCUUGAGGACUGGAGAGGAGACUGGAAUUCAUGGUGUAGCAGUGAAAUGCGUAGAGAUCAUGAGGAAGACCAGUGGCGAAGGCGGGUCUCUGGACAGUUCCUGACACUGAGGCACGAAGGCCAGGGGAGCAAACGGG
rnacentral:rRNA from 1 species